rnacentral:rRNA from 1 species
AAGGUCCCAAAGUCAUGGUUAAGUGGGAAACGAUGUGGGAAGGCACAGACAGCCAGGAUGUUGGCUUAGAAGCAGCCAUCAUUUAAAGAAAGCGUAAUAGCUCACUGGUCGAGUCGGCCUGCGCGGAAGAUGUAACGGGGCUAAACCAUGCACCGAAGCUGCGGCAGCGACGCUUAUGCGUUGUUGGGUAGGGGAGCGUUCUGUAAGCCUGCGAAGGUGGCCUGUGAGGGCUGCUGGAGGUAUCAGAAGUGCGAAUGCUGACAUAAGUAACGAUAAAGCGGGUGAAAAGCCCGCUCGCCGGAAGACCAAGGGUUCCUGUCCAACGUUAAUCGGGGCAGGGUGAGUCGACCCCUAAGGCGAGGCCGAAAGGCGUAGUCGAUGGGAAACAGGUUAAUAUUCCUGUACUUGGUGUUACUGCGAAGGGGGGACGGAGAAGGCUAUGUUAGCCGGGCGACGGUUGUCCCGGUUUAAGCAUGUAGGCGGAGGUUCCAGGUAAAUCCGGUACCUUUUAACGCUGAGGUGUGAUGACGAGGCACUACGGUGCUGAAGUAACAAAUGCCCUGCUUCCAGGAAAAGCCUCUAAGCAUCAGGUAACAUCAAAUCGUACCCCAAACCGACACAGGUGGUCAGGUAGAGAAUACCAAGGCGCUUGAGAGAACUCGGGUGAAGGAACUAGGCAAAAUGGUGCCGUAACUUCGGGAGAAGGCACGCUGGUGUGUAGGUGAAGUCCCUGCGGAUGGAGCUGAGACCAGUCGAAGAUACCAGCUGGCUGCAACUGUUUAUUAAAAACACAGCACUGUGCAAACACGAAAGUGGACGUAUACGGUGUGACGCCUGCCCGGUGCCGGAAGGUUAAUUGAUGGGGUUAUCCGUAAGGAGAAGCUCUUGAUCGAAGCCCCGGUAAACGGCGGCCGUAACUAUAACGGUCCUAAGGUAGCGAAAUUCCUUGUCGGGUAAGUUCCGACCUGCACGAAUGGCGUAAUGAUGGCCAGGCUGUCUCCACCCGAGACUCAGUGAAAUUGAACUCGCUGUGAAGAUGCAGUGUACCCGCGGCAAGACGGAAAGACCCCGUGAACCUUUACUAUAGCUUGACACUGAACAUUGAGCCUUGAUGUGUAGGAUAGGUGGGAGGCUUUGAAGCGUGGACGCCAGUCUGCGUGGAGCCAACCUUGAAAUACCACCCUUUAAUGUUUGAUGUUCUAACGUAGGCCCCUGACCGGGGUUGCGGACAGUGUCUGGUGGGUAGUUUGACUGGGGCGGUCUCCUCCCAAAGAGUAACGGAGGAGCACGAAGGUUAGCUAAUCCUGGUCGGACAUCAGGAGGUUAGUGCAAUGGCAUAAGCUAGCUUGACUGCGAGCGUGACGGCGCGAGCAGGUGCGAAAGCAGGUCAUAGUGAUCCGGUGGUUCUGAAUGGAAGGGCCAUCGCUCAACGGAUAAAAGGUACUCCGGGGAUAACAGGCUGAUACCGCCCAAGAGUUCAUAUCGACGGCGGUGUUUGGCACCUCGAUGUCGGCUCAUCACAUCCUGGGGCUGAAGUAGGUCCCAAGGGUAUGGCUGUUCGCCAUUUAAAGUGGUACGCGAGCUGGGUUUAGAACGUCGUGAGACAGUUCGGUCCCUAUCUGCCGUGGGCGCUGGAGAAUUGAGGGGGGCUGCUCCUAGUACGAGAGGACCGGAGUGGACGCAUCACUGGUGUUCGGGUUGUCAUGCCAAUGGCACUGCCCGGUAGCUAAAUGCGGAAGAGAUAAGUGCUGAAAGCAUCUAAGCACGAAACUUGCCCCGAGAUGAGUUCUCCCUGAGACUUUAAGUCUCCUGAAGGAACGUUNGACGUUGAUAGGCCGGGUGUGUAAGCGCAGCGAUGCGUUGAGCUAACCGGUACUAAUGAACCGUGAGGCUUAACCUU